UGGUCAAGUUAUUAAGGGUGCAGGGCGGAUGCCUUGGCACUAGGAGCCGAUGAAGGACGUGAUAAGCUGCGAUAAGCUUCGGGGAGUUGCACGUAAACUUUGAUCCGAAGAUUUCCGAAUGAGGAAACUCACUUAGAGUAAUGUCUAAGUAUCAUUAAGUGAAUACAUAGCUUAAUGAGGGGAACUCAGGGAACUGAAACAUCUAAGUACCUGAAGGAAGAGAAAGAAAUUCGAUUCCGUAAGUAGCGGCGAGCGAACGCGGAUUAGCCCAAACCAAUAAAGUUUUCUUUAUUGGGGUUGCGGACAUAUCAUAACGAAGAGGUAUCGUAAUUGAAGAGGUUUGGAAAGACCCACCAUAGAAGGUAAUAGUCCUGUAUGUUAAACGAGAAGACUUUAGAUAUGAUCCAGAGUACCACGGGACACGUGAAACCCUGUGGGAAGCAGGAGGGACCACCCUCCAAGGCUAAAUACUACCUAGUGACCGAUAGCGUAUAGUACCGUGAGGGAAAGGUGAAAAGAACCCCGGGAGGGGAGUGAAAUAGAACCUGAAACCCUGCACUUACAAGCUGUGGAAGCACAUUUCUUGUGUGACCGCGUACUUUUUGUAGAACGGGCCAACGAGUUACGUUAAGUAGCAAGGUUAAGCACUUAAGGUGCGGAGCCGUAGCGAAAGCGAGUUUUAACUGAGCGUUCAGUUACUUGACGUAGACCCGAAACCGGGCGACCUACCCAUGAGCAGGAUGAAGCGAAAGUAAAAUUUCGUGGAGGUCCGAACCCACGAGCGUUGAAAAGCUCGGGGAUGACUUGUGGGUAGCGGUGAAAUUCCAAUCGAGCCCGGAGAUAGCUGGUUCUCCCCGAAAUAGCUUUAGGGCUAGCCUCAAGGUGAGAGAUACGGAGGUAGAGCACUGAAUGUCCUAGGGGGUAUUGCACCUACCGAAGACUAUCAAACUCCGAAUGCCGUCAUCUUAUACUUGGGAGUCAGACUGUGGGUGAUAAGAUUCAUAGUCGAAAGGGCAACAGCCCAGAUCGUCAGCUAAGGUCCCUAAAUGUAAGUUAAGUGGUAAAGGAUGUGGGAUUGCACAGACAACCAGGAUGUUGGCUUAGAAGCAGCCACUCAUUCAAAGAGUGCGUAAUAGCUCACUGGUCGAGUGAUCCUGCGCCGAAGAUUUCCGGGGCUAAAACUUACUACCGAAGCUACGGCAUCAGUAAUGAUGGGUAGGGGAGCUUCCCAUACGGGUUGAAGCAUGACCGUAAGGACAUGUGGACAGUAUGGGAGUGAGAAUGUUGGCAUGAGUAGCGAGAUGUGGGUGAGAAUCCCACAGGCCGUAAACCCAAGGUUUCCAGGGGAAGGUUCGUCCGCCCUGGGUUAGUCGGGACCUAAGCUGAGGCCGAAAGGCGUAGGUGAUGGACAACAGGUUGAUAUUCCUGUACUACCGAUAACCGUUUGAGAGAAGGGAUGACACAGUAGGAUAAGCUAAGCACACUGUUGGUUAUGUGUGCCCAAGCAUUGAGGCAGUCAAAGUAGGCAAAUCCGCUUUGAUAAUGCUGGGAUGUGAUGGGGAGCGAAAUUUAGUAGCGAAGUAGCUGAUUUCACACUGUCAAGAAAAGUCUCUAUCGAGGUUAAAGGUACCCGUACCGCAAACCGACACAGGUGGGUGAGGAGAGUAUCCUAAGGCCAGCGAGAGAACUGUUGUUAAGGAACUCGGCAAAAUGACCCCGUAACUUAGGGAUAAGGGGUGCCACCAUCAGGUGGCCGCAGAGAAUAGGCCCAAGCGACUGUUUACCAAAAACAUAGGUUUCUGCUAAGUCGCAAGACGAUGUAUAGGAGCUGACGCCUGCCCGGUGCUGGAAGGUUAAGGGGAUCUGUUAGAGCAAUCGAAGCAGUGAACUUAAGCCCCAGUAAACGGCGGCCGUAACUAUAACGGUCCUAAGGUAGCGAAAUUCCUUGUCGGGUAAGUUCCGACCCGCACGAAAGGCGUAACGAUUUGGGCACUGUCUCAACAACAGACUCGGUGAAAUUGUAAUUCCGGUGAAGAUGCCGGAUACCUGCGACAGGACGGAAAGACCCCAUGGAGCUUUACUGUAGCUUGACAUUGGGUCUUGGUACUACAUGUACAGGAUAGGUGGGAGGCUUUGAAACCAGGACGCCAGUUUUGGCGGAGCCAUCCUUGGGAUACCACCCUUGUAGUACUGGGACUCUAACCAUAGGCCAUGAAUCUGGUCUUGGGACACUGUCAGGUGGGCAGUUUGACUGGGGCGGUCGCCUCCCAAAAGGUAACGGAGGCGCUCAAAGGUUCUCUCAGUACGGUCGGAAAUCGUACGUAGAGUGUAAAGGCAAAAGAGAGCUUGAUUGCAAGACAUACAGGUCGAGCAAGGAUGAAAAUCGGACUUAGUGAUCCGGUGGUUCUGCGUGGAAGGGCCAUCGCUCAACGGAUAAAAGCUACCCUGGGGAUAACAGGCUUAUCUCCCCCAAGAGUCCACAUCGACGGGGAGGUUUGGCACCUCGAUGUCGGCUCAUCACAUCCUGGGGCUGUAGUAGGUCCCAAGGGUUGGGCUGUUCGCCCAUUAAAGUGGUACGCGAGCUGGGUUCAGAACGUCGUGAGACAGUUCGGUCCCUAUCCGUCGCAGGCGUAGGAAAUUUGAGAAGACCUGUCCUUAGUACGAGAGGACCGGGAUGGACGUACCUCUGGUGUACCAGUUGUCCUGCCAAGGGCAUGGCUGGGUAGCUAUGUACGGAAUGGAUAAGCGCUGAAAGCAUCUAAGCGCGAAGCCAACUUCAAGAUAAGAUUUCCCACCGCAAGGGUAAGACCCCAGAAAGACUAUCUGGUUGAUAGGUCGAAGGUGUAAGUGCAGCAAUGUAUUUAGCUUAUCGAUACUAAUAGGUCGAGGACUUGACCAAU
rnacentral:rRNA from 1 species